rnacentral:ncRNA from 1 species
GCCAAACCGUUGGGGUGUCCCACUUGAGGGGGCUGAGAGGCGCUGUUGCGUAAACCCAUCGAACCUGAUCCGGGCAAUUCCGGCGGAGGGAACGGUGUCGUAAAAUGA